GUUCUUCUCCGAGCCGGGCAGCCGGCGGUCCUCAGCCGCCCACAGAACAGGAGCCGAAACAACCGUUCUCGAAGGCUACAGCGUUUAUUUUUCUCUUUUGGGGGGUUUUGGCGGUUGUUUCAGGGGCUCGCCAACUGGCCCCUUUAAUUAAAAGCUUCAAUAAAAGGCGAUCGCGCCAGGAAUGCACCCGCUCCUCUUCGCGCAGGAUUUGCAUAUUUUUUUAAUGCCCUAAUUUCCUUGAUGUAUGUAAAUGUAGCCGGACGUAGAGGGAGACAGGGAGCUGACGUCAAUGGACGUGACCUCGCAGCUAAACCUUGAACGUGAAGCCGGGAUGGGGGAAAACACGGAGCGGCAGCCGGCGGAGCCCGAGAGCGCGGGCGGCGGCGGCAGUAGCCGAGCCCAGGCCGGGGUGCCAAGGGACCAGUGCCGGCCCCGGGGGAGGACAAGCCGCCGCCUUCUUUCUGCACCGCGCGGCUCUCAGACUCGCCAGCCUUCCGGCCGCACACGCAGACUCUUGCCCUGAGCUUCCAGCCCCACCACACACACGUUCUUUUGCUUCCCUCAGAAAAGCAACACUCCCCAAAACAACAAACCAAAAUCAACAGAUAAAACAGAUGUUUUAGACCAAUGCUCGGGUAGCUUAUCAGAAAGAAGACUCUGACCACGGAACAUAUAUAUUUUUUGGCUUCUCUCCACAAGAAGAGGAGCGAGAGACCACAGACAACAGCAAAUCACUCCUAAAACACGAUAACUACAAGUGCUCCCUGUAGGGAGAGGUAAAUCGCCCAGCCGACUGGUGAAGUCUUCUGGUUUCGACGCCGAAAGAAGCCUGUUUGUGUGCUGCGGCCGUGCUGUGACUUUGGAUCUUGUCUUUCAGCCGGCGCCUCGGUUCCUGCCCAGCUGGAUUUGGGGGGCAGCAUUGCCUGGCGCAGGGAGAUCAAAUGAGACUGCAAAGAAGCAUAAAAUGAAUAGACAAUCCAACCAACCAAAGACCGGGGGCAGCAGCAGGCCAGCAAGACGGCAUCUUCUCCUUCCCAGCCUAGAAGCCCUGUGAAAUCGAGGAUCUUCCCCCUAAAACACAUACACACAAGAUAUGUGCAAUCAAGCUGCCACCGCUUGGUAAAAAGCCAUGGUGCCUAACCAAAAAGGAUCAGGAACAGAUCCUUGAAUCAGCUGUCACUUCUAUAGAAUGGGAUUUUUUUUUCCUUCCUCCUUAACCUGCGCUGGAAAUUGCCGUUGGCUUUAUACAUCUCUAUAGAGAGAGGCUAAAGAGUCUUGCGUGAGAAAGAAGCAAUUUACAAUGCAAAUAGAGGCCUGUGAAGGGACGGAUGCUGCUGCUCACUCGUAACAGCUUGCUGCACCUUAAUAGCUGGUUUUAUUUUCUGAUAUUAAUAGAUGAAUUGUUGGCUAACGCUGCCGGAGAUUACUUGCUGAAAGGAAAAAGAAAAGUUCGGAAUAAACUCUGAAGGCAACAGAUCUCGUUUGGAUGUUUUAGCCGCGCACACACACAAACAGAAACCAGGUCAUAUUUACAUAAAAGGAGGAAUCUUAAGCGCGGCAAGUAUCCUGGACGACCACUCUUCGGUACUGCCAGAAAGGAUCAGGACCUGGAGUCUGGCAAGAGGAAGACAGAGGCCUGUGUGGGAAGCGAGUUGUUAUCUUUGGUUAUCUAGCUGUAUGAGUGUAUUGGUCUUCAUAAAGCUAGAUAACCGAAAGUAAAAACUCCUUCAAGAUCGCCGGGGAGCGUGUGAGAAUGAAAGACUACAGCCGAGAGACAGUAAAAACCAGAAAGGUCAGGAAUACUUAUUGAAUCUAACUUUGUUUUUGUUUUGUUUUUUUCCUUAUGAUUAAAGGUGGGAUGAGAGAAAAUUAAAUGACACACACAUGCUAAAAUAUCAAGGUUCCAGAUAUGUCUUGAGAGGGGUUGUUGCAGCUGCAAAGGAGAAGUGUAUAGUGAUAAUGAGUAAAGAUGCAUGUGCAGUUUGUUCUAUUUUAAGGCAAAAGUUAUAUCAGGGAUUUUUUUCUUAGAAAGGUGUUGCAGAGAUGUCUGGUACCUAGUUUAAAAAUGAUUCCAUAAUAUGUAGACUUGGGCAGUUCCUUUGGGAGGCACCUCCCUCUCAAAAUUUGAAGAUUGUGCUUGGAAAUUACUUUACAUGUAUUUGGGCUGUAUGUCAAUUUGUACGAAAUUAGACUUUCAGAAAAGUUUAUACUGGAAGGUUAAUAAUUUGUAUCUACUGAGGACUUAGAGCUAGCAGGCAAAAUG
rnacentral:lncRNA from 1 species